CGUAAUCCUGGGGCUCUCGCGAGAAUUUACUUAGAGCCACGCCAGGCUCGAAUGGGGGGUGUUUCUUAAAGGGCGAGGCACUUGGAUCAUCGUCUUUUGCGGGCAGCCUCCAAUCAGGAUCAAAGAAAGAAGACCUUUGUUACAACCUAACCUCAGCCUACUCUCAUGCCUUCCUUUAACCCCACGUGAGAGCAGUAAGAUAAUUCCAGUUUUCCGAAGAUCUAAGUUUCUGAACUUACAAGAAUUGCGUCCCUCGCGCCCAACGCCAAACCUGUCCAUCAGCUAUCGAACGUACUAUCAAGACCACUUCGUGAAGUAAGACUACGUGCUGGAUUCUGACCCCGAAGGACGCAGAGCUCGCAGCUCCAAGGUCCAACACCAUGAGCCGUGAGCCCCUCGGGUAAGGCCCGGCAGCUUCUUACCUGGUGGCGGGCGACCGUGAGGCCUCGGAAGGCUGCAGCGCAGGUAAGACGGGAUGCCGCGGACCGGCUAGCGUUGAUCAUGGCGGCUAAAUGGUGAAAGUACGAGACAGCAAACAGUCACUCCGACAGCCUUAGAGCUGCGCUGCGCGGCGCUGGAUACGCUUCUGGAAACCUCCAACCACGUGGGGUGGCGGGGGCGGGGGUUGGUCGCUGGGUCCAGGAGGUCCGCUCUUCCGCUGCGGCGCUGCCAACGCUGCCGGACCAAAUACUACCUGACCUCUGCUCCCAGAGUCAGAACGUACGACUAAUACACUCCGCACUGUGGUGGUUGAAAAAGUAUGUUCUUCCGUUUUGGCUGCGGCAGCAUGACUCCCUGGCCUGAGCUGAGUGUUCACUCUCAGGAUUAAAGGCAGCUAACAGAGCACCAGUACUCAGAACCCUGGAGAACAGCACCUGUAUGUGAUUGGCCAGGUAUUUGAGUGCCGGUGUUCUAUCUUCUCAAAGGCCAGGGAGGGCGGAAUGCUGUUCAGGGAGUUGUGCAGAGGAGAGAGGGACCGGGGUAUGGGGAGAGAGGCUGUGGAUGAGGCUGCGUGUGUGUUUGCUGCAUUUCUAAAAUAUCUCUGAAAACAAGCUGCAUUUCAGAACCUAAACCAGCAUUUCCUUUUCUUCACUCUGAGGGUGCAUGAAGGAAGCCAUUGGGCACACCAAGGAUGACAUCCAACCCAAUGAGCUACACCAGUCAUGGCUAUGUUGUUACUUAAAUUCCACAUGAGAUGAAAUUGAGAAGAUGACGGUGUUACCAUGGAGGAGACUCUGAAAUUCUGUGUUGAUUUCUAAUUCCGUGUUGUCCCUGAGGAUGGGCAGGGUGUGGGCCAGGACUAUGACAGCACAGGAAGUAUUAGGACAUCGUUAAAAGUAACUUCGCUAAGAACUGUGGUACGUACUUGCAGGGUAACAGAAGGAGAGAAUAGGAUACUUCAGGGAAUUGAGAAGAAAGGGGAGAAGUGGGCAGAGCUUGAAUCCAAAGGCCUCGUUUUCCACAAGGACAUUAGGGUGCUGUUACGA